GUGCUAAUUAUUGUAUUAGUAGUUACUAGUUCAUGAACCAUAUGUAUAAAGAGUAUGUAUUUGGUUCAUUUAUUUUCGUGCUACCAAACUUUGAACCUUUGCCAUUUGGGUUACCUGAGGUUGUGAUUUUGGGUUUAGUGCUAAUUAUUGUAUUAAUAGUUACUAGUACUUGAACCAUAUGUAUUUGGUUCAUUUAUCUUCAUGCUACCAAACUUUUAACCUUUGCCAUUUGGGUUAACCGAGGUUGUGAUUUUGUGUUUAUUGAUAAUAAUUUCUAACCAUUUUGCUAAGGGGGUUAUAGUCAUAAAUCAUCAUAAAGAAUAGAUAGUGAACCAAUUCAUUUAAGGAUUAUUAUUUGGAGCAUUUAGUUUAAUAAUAGCAAAUUUAAACGUUUCUCAUUUGGGUUAACCAAAGAUAAGAUUUUGGGGUUAGUGAUAAAUCAGGGUAGACAUUUUUUUAACCAGUUACAGUUUUCGAAUAACUUGCCUAUAUUGGUGGGGGGAUUCUUGAGUUUAAUCUUAAUGAAUAGUUAUUUUGGUAAAAAGAUUUUACUAAUACCAAACUUAUACUAUUUGUUAUAUGGGUUAACUGAGAUUAUGAUUUUGGAGUUAGUGAUAAAUUUGUUUAGGGUUUAGCUUACAGCUUUAACAAGGUCAAUUUUUUUUGUCAAGUAAUAUCAUUUUUGAUUAUAUUAUUGAAUAUCGAGAUAUUUGUAUUAAAUUGUUGAAUAUCCAGAUAUUUGUUUCUUUAUUCGGUUGUUUGUUCCAUGAAGACAGCUGAAAAAAGUAGCUUCUUUCUUCCUUUUCCUAGCAUACGAAGCUAGAUCUAAGACAAGUUGAAUAAAAAACUUAUGUAAGCAAUACAAAAACAUCAUCAAACAAACCGAAAAAUGAAUCAGACUCCACCACGAGCAAUGAUAUGCCUUUGCAAAAUGACCUCUAGUAGUUUUGGGUAUUCACUCAUGUUCGGAAUCGGGCUAGAUGUUAGUUGGGCGGUCGUUAUGGACCUCGCGAGUUGUAGAAAAAUCUCAGAUUAAUUUCCGCUUAUUCGGGAUUUAGUUUUUAAUGGUUAUUCAAUUUUCUGAUAAAAUAUAGAUAUGAAUGCAUGACUUCCAUAGAAUGUAACAAUAAUUGUACGGUCGAAUGGUUUCUGAAGCGUAGCUUAAAGAAACAGUUCGCGUGUUCGACCCAUGGGAAUCCGUUUUUGCCUUUUUAUUUUUAUUUUUUCAUUAAUGGCAUAGUUGUAAUUUUUAUCACCUUCUCCCCCAAUAUGUUUUAGGGUUUUGCAAGAAAAUCUCAGAGCCGCCAUAACUUCCUCCAUGAAAACGGCCGUGCGCCGCCAAAUCCUACGCCGUAGUCGAGAUCCCUUUCGUCGUAGGCCCUCUCUUCUUCCUCUUCAUUAGUUCUCUUGAUUAAAAGUGGACGAUCGUUCUUGGAUCGUGACAUAUCUUCCACAACAUCCUUCAUCCACCGAGUCACCACCAGCCAACUCUCCCGAACUCGAACCCAACUCAGUGAGUCGACUCGGCACGACCGAGUUUACUCAAACGGAUGAUUUUCCCAAUCGCUUCCUCCAGUUUUUCUUCCUCUUCCUAACCUAAUCCUACCUAACCCAGUAACUCGUGUAGCAACUGAAGCAAUCACAGAGAUAGAGAAGAGAUAACCCAACUAUAUGGCUAAACGAAGAAGAAUCACAUAACAAUCAUUAUAUCCAUUUAAAUCCUUAAAGUACUUUUCAUAAAGCUGCCCAUUAAAAGCAGCUGUUCAGAAUGGAUCUGAUAUAUAUAAACAGUAAGAACAAUAUAUAAGGAUAUUUUGUACUUGCACUUUUUUUUUAAAAAAAAUUGUCAUUGUCGAAAAGCAUCCAUGUUGUGAGAUGAAGACAAAAUGACCGGCUAUAUGAACAUGUGAUUUGAUUGAAAGCGUUUCAUGAGGUUAAUGGAGUCAUUUUACCCUCUACCAUCUCUUUGUUCGCAAAUUAUUUGAUAAUAUACACACUUUGCCAAUUUCAAAAAUUUCUUGUAUAUUCACCUAAUUAACCCUAUAUUAAAACUAAAAUGCUGUAAAAAAGAAGGUAGAAUAAAGUAAACAUAAUUAAUAAUUACUCCUAACUUUCUAUUGGUUAAGAUAAGAGGGUGAGGAUCACAAUUUUUGACCAUUGAUUAGAUUAAUCAAUCAAUGGUUCAGAUUCAUUUAUUUGUGUUUCUUUCUCUCUCUCCAAAGUGUCUUCUCUCGAUACCUAUACAAUCUUUGUUAAUAUUUUUGAAAGAUACAUUUCUAUAUUACCCUUGAUCACAUGAUUGAAUCAAGAUUUUAAAAAUCGUUUUUAAAAGGAAAGAAAUCAUUAAUAUACAGUAAAUUUAAAACAAAACUAAUAAUCAUUAAAUAAAAGGAAAACAUGUAUUUUAAAAAAGGAAAUAUUAAUUUAUGGAAAAAAACACCAUUGUUGACGCAUCCAUCUUCUUUUUCACAAGCCAUGUAUGAGAAGUUCAAAAUUUAACAUCAAGCUUUUCAAGAUCAGACAACUUUGGCAUCAUUAUUGUGAAACUGGUAACUUAUAGUCUUUUUGUUCUAUUUAAACAACAAUUAUAUACAAUCGAUAUCUAACUAGGUUAUGUAUGUUUUGUUCUUAAUAUUUUCUUUGGUUACUUUUGAUUUGUAGAACUAUUUACUUAAUUUUACCAAAGGAACUUCACGAUUCAGCAGAUUUAAAAUCCAGGUAACUGAAACCAAUUUACAUACAUAGUAGAUGAAGACAAACAUAAAUUCUGUCAAAUAUUGGUGAGAGUAAAAUUUUGAGUUGGUAGACAUACAUUUUGUCCACUGAUAGUUGAUAGGUUGCUGUAAAGUCUAGAUGUUUUAUAGUAGACUUCAAAUGACAACAUGGAAGACAUAUAUAUAGGCUAUGAGAGAGUAGGGUGUCUACAUAUUAUGGUAGACAACAACUCCCAAACCGGUGGACUUAUAAUUUGUCUACGAACAUACGGUAGACUUUCGUAAAUGUCUACAUAUCUUCAUAGACAUGACAGUUCAAAUUGGUAGAUUGGUAUGUUUUAUGAUAAUAAUUGGCAGAUUAGAGUAAUGUCUACACAGAACAGCAGACUUCAAAUUGUAAUUUGGUAGACUUUUAUUUUGUCUGGAACAUAUUAGUAGACUUCAACUAGCAAUAUGACUGAUUUAUAUUUACUGGUGGACUAAUUGGUAGACUCGCCUGAUGGCUACAUUUUUUUGCUGACAUGAAAAUCUAAACUCCUAGACUAGUUUGUUAUCUGCUGAAAAAUGGCAGACCUUUUCUUGGCAGACCUUCAAUUCGUCUGCGAAAUAAUAGUGGACUCGCAUAAAGUCUACUUUUAUGGGUAGAUUGUCUGAUAAUUGUAAAGUCUACAUAUUAUUGGCAGACUUGCUGAUAAUCGAAACCUUUGUGUUUUCCAUAUUAUAUUCAUUUUUGAACAGUAGUUGACGACCAUUCUCUAUAUUACUCUGUUUUUAAUUAUAUAGUAUAUUGAUUUUGUAGGCAUUCUCAUAGUUGAAAAAAUGAAUGGCAAUCUAUAUAAAAGUUGUGAGGAUGAAGAAAAAAGUGGAACUUUUAACGAAAGUACAGUGUUACUAUUGACGGAGGCAGUGAAGAUAAACAGAACAGUGUUGCAUUUCAUGGAUAGGGUGAAGGCGAGGCACAAAGUGGUGCACCAUAUAUAUAUGGUGAAGAAGAGGUCCAAAGUGGUAUGUUUGAUGAAAACAACCACAAAUGAAAAAGAUGAAAACUGAGAAGGUGGAUACUGAACAACAACCACAGAAGUGGCGGAAACUGUACACAUGCUCAAAUUGUAAGCAAGGAGGACAUAACCGUGCCACUUGCAAAGGUGGGUGAGAAACAUUUUUAAAACAGUAUUAGUUUCUGAUUUUUAAAAGUUUACAACUGAGUAUUUUGAUUACAUUUGAUUUUGGCACACUAUUUUGGUUUUCAAUAUUCCAACUUUAUAUUGAGCUGGGUUUAAAUUAACUAUGGCUGUUUGUGUUGAUUAAUCAAAGAGAAAAUGCAGAUUUUAGUGUUCUACUUGGGAAGUCUUUUUUUUUGUUUUUCAGAACUGGAAGAAAUUGCAGCACGUGAACAAUAAAUUAUUAAAGAAACUGAUUAUAUGUGAAAGAUGUAAAGUAAUAACCAUAUGAAUCAUAACAAUAAAAUGAAACUGUUUAAGCAUUGCAAAGUCUUAAAAUCGUACCAAUAAAAUAAAAUUAAUAAGAAUGCAACUUCAGUAGGGAUAUAUCAACUCACGAUCACUCGCUCGCAACGGAAGCGGGUUAGAAACUGUGGGACCAUGUUGUUCAGUCUCCUCAAAUAUUUCUGCUGCAAGCUUUUCUCUAACCAUCUUGAUAUUCUCAUCAGAUAAAGACGUGGUAAACUCAGCACCUAGCGCAUGACACUCAAUGAAUUUUAUUGCAUAAAUUCCACAAUCACCUGUUUUCAACAUUUGAGGAAUCCCUUGUCUUGGUCUUCGAACCUUAUAUUGUUCAACACUCAUCUUUGGCCUUUCUGAUACGUAGAUAUGUCUUCAUCUUUCAGAUGUGGUACCGUAAACAUCUAUAUUGAGUAAAAAAAAAGGUAACUAUUAUACUUAGCUCAUAAAUAAUAGAUGUAGGUUGUAGAGAAUAUAUGGAACUACCUCAUUAGUCUUUGACUUCUCUGUCAGUAGCAUCACCUCCAACUCCAAAAGGUCUAUCCUUAUUCUCAUUAUUUCAUAGCUUCUAAGUUGUUUUCCCAUCUCUUCUAAUUUACACUCCAAUGUUUCUACCUUUUUUGCUUGUUGCACAAGUUCCAUUUUCAUGCGUAUCACUUCAGUGGGCUCAGUAGAAGAAACAGAAACGUUUGAAUCUAAUGCUUUGAUUUUCUUCGUGCUAGCUAUCAUCACUUCUGUUUUGUGUUUCAGCGAUGUCUCCUUACCAUCACUUUUCUCAUUUGCAUCUUCAGCUUUUUCUCCAUCAUUUUUUUCUAUGUUCUUUGCAGUCUGAAUGAUGUUUGUUCCAUGAUCCACCCAAGUCACAAGUCCUAGACUUCCUUCUUUGUGUAUGGCUUCAAGAAGAGCAUCAACCUUUUUGUCGACACUUUUAUCCUCCCAUACAAUAGGUGCUACUUGAUUGAUAAUAACAUUCCUGAUAUUUUCCUACAGAUUCAAGCCAAAAUCAGAAUUACUCUUUUUUAAGACAAACAAAAUUGAAUCAACACCAACACAAAAGAUAGCAAACAUUCCAAAUACCUUAUCAGCGGCUGAGACAAUAGACUUUUUUUGUCCCCUUUAAACCUCUAUACUUUAGAAUAGGAGGCCCAUCGAUGUUUCUGGACGACCAAUCUUUGCUCCGAGGCUUGGGACGACACUGUAAGCCCAUGCUUAUAGAGCUUAAACAAACCCAUCUAAUGUGUAUGAGUUAGCAUUCAAGUUUACACGCUUCACUGAAGCAAUCAACCGCUUGAAAGCCUCUUUUCCCAAAGGAUGUUUCUGAAAUUUUGGCAAGUCAAAAACCAUUCGAGAAAGUUCAAGCGGAAGCUUCUUUUUAUCAUCUUCACCUAUGAUAAUAGUUGCUAAAAUAGACAAAUACGUAAAACAGAUUUUGUCUUCUGUUGACCAAGAAAAAACAUCUUCCAAGGCUCCUCUCAACUCUUUCUUGCAAGGGCUUUUCCUGUUUACGUUUAACUUCUUCCACAAUCCUUUAUGCACCUUUGUUUCAACGACAUAUUCAUUCUCAACAAAAGGUGCACAGUUCAAAGCAGUUAUGUUUUCGAACUCUGACAAAGAGAACCGAGCCGGUGUAUUUCCAAACAAGCACCACAUCUAAUGCUUUUUCUUGCAAACAAGUUGGUUCACAAGAAGAUGCUCGACGACCUUAGACGACCAAGUGAAUUUAUUUUCUACGAAUCGUAUAAUGUUCCACACUUCUUCUCCAACAGCAUUUUCAACAUCUUCUAAAAACUCAGUCUUACUAUGGUGGUUGAUACUUUUCUUGGGUUUUGGCUCUCAACCAAGUGAAAACAAUCGUAAUGGAAAUCCUAAAUCCACAUUUGUUUGAAUUGACAUCCUGUAAAAAGAAUAUGAGUCUAAUAGAUUAAAUGAAAAAACUCUUGGAAAUAAUUAUUCAACUUUAACUAAAGACUCUCAAGAUAAUUAAAGAAAAUAAUCUUGUACACAUGCUCAAAUAUAACUAUAGGAAGAUUUACGACAGUCAUUGGCUGAGAGUGAAGGUAAAAUUAGAGAAUGAUGUUACUAAACUGAUUUUAAAACCAUGCCUCGUUCACGAUCUGAAAUUCACUGGUUACAAAGUAUUUUGCCAAUAGAAUUGGUGCAGCAAGAGGAAGACAAGAAAAGAGAUUUUGUCGAUAAAAUUGGUGAAUUGCUAGAAUUUUGUCGCUGAAAUUUAUUUGAUUUUGAGUCAAUAUUUUUGUAUAUCCUAAAUUUUCUUAUUUUACAAUAAAUGAUUAAUGAGAUAAUUAAUAUUAAAAAAAUUAUUUGAUUAAUAUUGAGAAAAUUACCUACAAUAACCUAUCUUUUUACAGAAAUUGUUUGAAUAACUCAUAAAAUUUAAUAUUACUCAGAUAACCUACGUACUAGUAGAAAUAUUGCUCAUAGCCACAAAAUACCUACGAAAUUUUCGUGGCAAAUUUGAAAAUGCUACGAAAAUACUAUGAAAAUAAAAUGUUGCAAAAGAAGCCACAAAAAUGCCACUAAAAUGUCAUGAAAUAUGAAACAUAGCAAUUCGUAUGUAAAUCGUAGCAAGAAAAGUCACGAAACUGCCACGAGUUAAAACGUAGCAAACUAUAGCCAUGAUUUUGCUACCGAAUUUUCGUGGCAAACUGCUACGAAAUUAAACGUCCUUGUAAUCGUAGCUAAUUUGUAAAAAAUAUCUUUUUUGCUACGGUUUGCCCACUAAAUUUUCCGUGGCUGUGUAGAAAAGCCACAAUUUUAUCACGAAUUAGCCACUAAAAUUUGAAAUACUAAACCCUAAAUAUACUUUUAAAACCCUAAACUCUAAAUAAAAAUCUUAAACUCUUAUUUUAACUUUAAAUCUCAAACUUAAAUUCAAAAAUUAAUAUUUUUCAGGUUUUACUCUUAAAUCUUUAAUCUAACCUCGAAACUAUAUUCCAAACCAUACACUUUACACCUAAACAUAAUACCCUAAAUCAUAAAUCCAAACACCAAAACUAAUAUUUUCAAACUCAAAUGUUAAACAUAAAUUACAAUCUCUAUACCCCAAAUCAAAAACAUAAUCUUUAAAGAAUUUAAUUAUUUAAGCUAAAUAAAUAAGGCUCAAUAUAUUAUUAUUAGUUAUUUAUAUAAAUAUUUAAAAUGUUUACACGUAAACUUUAUCUCUUUGUUUGGUAAGCAUGUAAACUUUAUCUAAAAUUAAACAAAACAGUAUCUUUAAUUCUAAGGCUUAAACUAUUAAAACCUAAACAAACCCUCUAUAACCCCUAAACUCAAACUCUAAAACUUUUAAUUCUAAAUAAAAACUAAACACUAUAGUAUAACUAAACUUGCUCUUAAAUCCUAAACUAUAAAUAUACUUUAAUAAAAGUGACACUUAACUUUAUAUUUUCAUACUAUAAACUCAAAUUUUAAACUAGUCUUUUAUUUUGAACUAAAUCAUCAGAUUAUAUUCAUAAACAUGACACUUAACUUUAUAUUUUUGUUUUGAACUAAAUCAACAUAUCUUAAAUCAUAAACAUAAUUUUUAAUAUCUAUAAUUAAAAAAAUAUAGAAUUAAAUAAAACAUUCUCUUUUGUCUUCCAUAUAUAUUAAAACUAAAAUGCUGUAAAAAAAAGGUAGAAUAAAGUAAACAUAAUUAAUAAUUACUGCUAACUUUCUAUUGGUUAAGAUAAGAGGGUGAGGAUCAUAAUUUUUGACCAUUGAUUAAAUCUAAUCAAUGGUUCAGAUUCAUUUAUUUGUGUUUCUUUCUCUCUCUCCAAAGUCUCUUCUCUCGAUAUCUUUUUCUGCUUUUUCUAAUCUUCUUCCCUCCAGAACUCUAUCUCUUCAACAACACAACUCUGUCUUAAUCUCUCACAAUCACUCACAGCCUUCUUCUUCUCCAUCUACAACAACAAAGUUUAACAACGACCGUCGCGUUCUUCACCACCACCACCGUCACGCUCUUCACCACCAUCACUGGAAGGUGGAGGUGGCAGAGGAGAUUGAUGGAGGAUGAGGUAGCAGAGGCUGUGGCUCCUGAGCUGAGCCGGCUUGAAGAUUGAAGAUGAGAAGCUAUGGUGAGGAAGCAGAAGAAGCAUGACGGCGGAGGAGGUGUGAAGCGUCGCUUCAUCCAUAACACUACCGGUGGCUCCAAAAACAAAUUGACUCGCCGCUUCAGGCGUAGUAUCCGGAGGUGUCGGCGGAGAAGCUGGUGGCGGUACCGGUGGUUGAGCCGACGUAUAUAUUUGUGUAUAUAUAUAUGUAUGAUAUAUAUUUAUAAUUUUUUUUUCUAUAUAUUUUGUAAUUUCGUUAAUAAAAAUUAUUUUUUUCUAAUUUAGUAAUUUAUUUUUAUGAAUUUGUUUUUUAA